rnacentral:rRNA from 1 species
AGAGCGCGGCACACAGCUCAGUAACACGUGGCUAACCUGCCCUCGGGACGGGAACACCCCCGGGAAACUGGGGCUAAUUCCCGAUAGGCGAAGAACUCUGGAAUGAGUCUCCGCCCAAAAGACGCUUAGAUCACGCUUUUAAGCGCCGCCCAAGGAUGGGGCCGCGACCGAUCAGGUUGUUGGUGAGGUAACGGCCCACCAAGCCUUUUACCGGUGCGGGCCGUGGGAGCGGGAGCCCGGAGAUGGGCACUGAGACAAGGGCCCAGGCCCUACGGGGCGCAGCAGUCGCGAAAACUUUGCAAUAAGCGAAAGCUUGACAGGGCUAUCCCGAGUGCCAUCCGCUGAGGAAGGCUUUUACCCAGUCUAGAACGCUGGGAGAAUAAGGAGAGGGCAAGUCUGGUGUCAGCCGCCGCGGUAAUACCAGCUCUCCGAGUGGUGUGGAUGUUUAUUGGGCCUAAAGCAUCCGUAGCUGGCCAGGCAAGUCCCCUGUUAAAUCCACCGAAUCAAUCGUUGGAUUGCGGGGGAUACUGCUCGGCUAGGGGACGAGAGAGGCCGACGGUAUUUCCGGGGUAGGGGUGAAAUCCUAUAAUCC